AGGAAAACAAGGUACUGCGGACAGUUCCUCUUCUAGCUGCAUGUCUCCCCCAAGAUAAGUGUAAAGUCAAGAUUGGUCGUCGCUUCAGUGAAGAAAGAGAUCCCGAACUUUCAACUAUUUGUCGGAAGUCUGAUACUUUAAUAUUAUAUCCAGGGGCUGAAGCUGCUAAUUUGGAAGAAUUUAUAUUAGAUUCUCCUAUUUAUCCUACCACAGUCAUCAUCAUUGAUGGUACAUGGAGCCAGGCUAAGGACAUUUUCUAUAAGAAUUCCUUGUUCCGACUACCUAAACAGGUAACCCUGUAACUACACUUCCCUCCUCGCACCUUCAGGUAUUUAGAACUAAGAGUAUGUUAUUUUUGCUUCCAAAUUUUUUUCUGUGCUCGUACACAGUACAGUAGCAUGUAUUUACUCCCAUGGCAUGUGCAUUAUUCAGACAUCCUAUAACUGCAGUGACUGUGCUCUGUGCUCAGAAAGACCUGAGUGUGCAGAAAUGUGAAUAUUUCACAGGGCAUUGUCUCCCCAUCCUGGAAAUUUAAAUUCAGUGUUUCAUAUAUAAGGCUUAUGACAAAGGGAUUUCCAGCAGCUGAUGAUGGCCAUCCAGUUUGUGGUAUUUUAUUAUAGCAGCUUGACCUGACCAAGACAGUUGUCAGUGAAGUAACUUGGACAGAUGCACCCAUGAGAAGGAAAAUAGGAAUGCAGUGUAUGUUACAUUAUUAAACAAAAGCCUUUUCAGCUUUUUACUUAUCAUUAGAAUGGAGUGGCAACUUCCAGGCUCCAGCUCCAUAUAUGCAGAACUGGAAAUAGGAGGAGCUGUAGGUUGUCUUUUCACUCUGUUGUGUCCUUGGCACAUAGUAGUUUAUAAAUUAAUUGUGGUCCUAUUUAUUUAUCUUUUGUUUUCUGUGCUUUGGUGUCAUAUCCAAGAAACUAUUGCCACAUCAUUUGUCAUUAAGCUUUCCCCUGUGUUUUCUUCUAGGAAGUUUUUAGUUUCAGGUCUUAUGUUUAGGUCUUUAGUCCAUUCUAAUCUAUUUUUUGUGUAUGGUAUAAAAUAAUGCCAAAAUUUAUUCUUUUACAUGUGCAUAUGCAGUUUUCCAGUACCAUUUGUUGAAGAAAUUGUCCAUUCCUCCUAUUCCUUAUCACCUUUACUUCAUUGUCUUCUCUCAUAUUUAAAUGAUUUUUCUUGUCUGUUUUAUUUUUUCUUCACUUUCCAUUCUGCUUUUUAAGGGUAUUUUGCUGUUUAUUUUCUUGUAAUAGUUUUAGCAUUUUCCUUCUUUUUCUUUUAUGUAUUAUUUCAUAAAAUUAAUGUUUAAUAUCCUGGAAAGGACAGAGAAAUUCUGUUCUAAAUUUUUUUUCAUAUGGAAUAUAUCUACUAUGUUGCUCAAUCAGUUGUUUAUGUGUUUGUUCAUUUAUUCACUUACUUGUUCAUUUUCCCAGAGACUCCCUUGUACAGCAGAUGUCUAUUGAAUUCUUACUGUACUUGAACAUAUGCUCCAAUGGAACUCUGUUUUAUUGGUGAACUAGAAUAGACUGAUCUCUGUCUUUAUGGGGCUUACAGUUUAGAGACAGUGAUAAUCAUUUCUUAGGAAACCACAAACAAUUAAUGACUGUUGUGGUGUUCCUGCCUGCCUUAUAACCCCAUGCCCUCCCCCCACCCCCCCUUUUUUUUUUUUGCUGGAGGGUUUACUCUGUUGGUUUUGGGCUAGAUUUUUUUUAAAGCUGACUUUGCUGGGGAUAUGGGCAUUCUGUCAGGGCCGGUUCUUUAAACAAACCUGGUGAAAACAGAACCUCAGUUUACCUUGAAGCUGUCUUUUAACUUGGCUUAUAGCUUUGGGGAUUAGAGGAAGCAGAGUUAUUCCCUUUCUUUAUAAAAUAUUAUUACACUGAAGAUAUAAUUUAUUUUGUUUUGUCUUGUCUUGUCUUUUUGCCUUUUCUAGGGCCACUUCCCAUGGCAUACAGAGGUUCCCAAGCUAGGGGUCAAAUCGGAGCUGUAGCCGCUGGCCUACACCAGAGCCACAGCAACGCGGGGUCUGAGCUGCGUCUGCAAACUACACCACAGCUUACGGCAAUGCCAGAUCCUUAAUCCACUGAGCAAGGCCAUGGAUCAAACCCACAACAUUAUGGUUCCUAGUUGGAUUCAUUAAUCACUGAGCCAUGAUGGGAACUCCCUGAAGAUAUAAUUUACCUGAUAAGAGGUGCUAAGAUAUGUAUGUAGUAUAGGAUAAAAGGCGUUAGAAGAAACAAAUGCCCUUAAAAUGUGUAUCUAACUUAGAAAACUUUUUAUUUAAAAUGAGAACCAAUUGAAGAAUAUAUUGUUUCAUUUUAUUUUGCAUUAAUGGAAAAACAUUACUUGAAUACUAAAAAAUAACAGCUUAUAUAAAAUCUUAAAUAUUUAGAGUCAUAAACAUAAUCAAUACAUUUUCUUAUGAGUCUUACAUAGAAUAUUCAGUGCAAAUUCAUCUCUCAGGAAUGGCAAAAACAAUCAGUAGUAAAAGAAAUUGAAAUUUUUAUUUCCCAGGAGUUUCUUGUUGGCCUUUUAUAUAUCAAGAUAACCUUCUAUAAAGAUUUGUUAUAGUACCUUCUCUAGAUAACAAGGAAGAGCAUGAUGUAGAGCUUUAUCUGACAUCUAUUUGUCCUUGUUUUCCUUUUUGCAUUUCUUUUUUUCUUUUUUUUUUUUUUUUGAACUGUAUUGGAAUGUCUCCUACUCCAUGGUAGAUACAUAGCCUCUGGUGGUAAUUUUAGAAUUGUCUUUUAUCAUUUGCUUUAUCCUGCCACAGGAUAGUGAAUGGUAUAUUCUGACAUCUUUGACUUGUCAUUAGUAGCCCAGUAAACACACCAUUCAUCACAAUCCCAUUGUGUAGAUUGUUAUGGUAUAUAAAUGCCUAUAUGAAUAAUCCUUACACACUUUUUCUUCCCCAAAAGCCUCUUAAAAAUUUCAUUUAUCUUUGCCUUGUAUUUAUUUUUGAAAUGUGUAAUUCUUUUCCCUAUUUUAUUCUAGUCUAUUUAAUUUAAUUCUAUUCCAUUCUAAUUUUUUCUUUUUUUUUGCACCUGUGGCAUAUGGAAGUUCCCAGGCCAGGAAUCAAAUCUGAACCAUAGCUGUGACCUACGCCACAGCUGUGGCAACACAGGAUCCUUAACCCACUGUGCUGGGCUGAGGAGCAAACCUGCAUCACCACAGAAACAAUGCUAGAUCCUUAAACCAUUAUACCACAGCAGGAACUCCUCCCCUCUUUAUUUUAUUUUGUAACUCUCAUGCAAUAAACUGCACACAUUUAAAGUGUAAAAUUUGCUAAGUUUUGAUAUAUGUAUGUAUCUGUGAAACCAUCACCACAAAGAAGAUAAUUUAUCUAUCACUUAUCAGAUUUCCUUGCGUUUAAUCUUUUCUUCCUACCCUUCUCCCAUCUUUGAGCAACCAGUGAUCUUUCUGUCCCUAUCUGUUAGUUUGUGUUUUCUAGAAAUUUAUAUAGUUGUCAAUUGUAUACCUUUUUUGGUAUGAUUUCUUUCACUCAGUAUAAUUAUUUUACAGUUCAUUCUUGUUGCAUGUGUUGUAAGUUCACUCCUUUUUAUUGCUCAGUAUAUUACAUUGUGUGGAUGUAUUAUGCUUUGCCUCUGUUGGUGACCAUUUGGGUUGUUUUCAGGUUUUGACUGUUAUGAAGUGGCUAUGAACAUUUAUUACAAAUCUUUGUGUGGAUGUAUCCUUUUCCUUCUCUCUUUUUCACCCAGAAGUAUGUGUGUCUUCAUCUGGGAGUGGAAUACUUGAAUUCGUAUGGUAGGUGUAUGUUAAACUUUUUUUUGGGGGGGGGAGCAAUUGUAGAAAACUGCAGACUUUUUCCCAAACAGAUGUACCUCUUAAAAUCCCCACUAGCAGUUGAUGAGCAGUUUCUUCGCAUCCCUGACAAGGCUUGAUAUGAAUAGUUUUUAAAAUUGCAACAUAGGGAUAUCUUAUAUGGCUUUAAUUUCCAUUUACCUGAUGUUUAAUGAUGCUGAGCAUCUUUUCAUAUGCUUAAUUGCCAUCCAUAUAUCUUCUUUGGUAAAGUGUACAUCAAAUCUUUGGCCUGUUUUACACUUAUUUGUUUUCUUAUUAAUGAAUCUGAAAGUUCUUUAUAUGAUGCAGGUAUUUUCAAAUCAUGUGUGUGUUUUGCAGAUAUUUUCUUCUAGUCUGUGGUUUGCCUUUUCAUCCUCUUAGUAAUCUUUUUGAAAAUGCAGAAUUUCUUAAUUUUGAUGAAAUCCAAUUAAUCCAUUUUAAAAUUAAUAUACAGGAAUUUUAAGAUAAAGAAUGUACUAGAUAAGUCAGCUUACUUUUACCUUUAUAUAUGAAGAGUGGAAAGAGUUUGAAACUUAAUUUCAAAGUUUUUAUAUUUAACAAAGCUAUGUUACAGAUGUUUAUAUCUUCAAAAAUAGAAAGUUAUGGUAUUCUUACUGGGGCAUUCACUUAUCAAGCAAGACAACCAAUUUUUAAAAAAUCAGAUUUUUUAGAUACAGCUUAGAGUCACAGGAAGUGGAAAGAUUCUUUGAAUCUCGAAGACUUGAGGGACUCCUUUGUUACAAAUAAACAUUUAUAAGGAUGGUUUUAUCAUAGACAGUAUAACAGGAUGAUUAUAGUUUUAACAACACACAGCCUCUAUGCAAGACUUACUGUGAAUGUUUUCUUUUCUUUAUGUUAUCAGGGCAGGCCCUCUGUCUCAGAAUGUUCUGCCCUCUGCAUCUCUUAUUUUUCUCAGAUUCCUUUCACUAGCAGUUGCUAAUUAGGAGGGCCUAUCUUCUCAAAUAUAAAUAAUAGUAGCUCCUUGGAGAGAACAGCAAAGCCAUGAAAUGUAAAAUUUACAAUAUGAAUUAAAAAAGGGAAAUUUUAUUUUAACAAAUUAAUUGUGGGCAAUGAAUGUUUUGUUUAUAUAUAAUUAUAUAUAUAAAUGUGUAUAUACAUAAAUGCAUAACAGGAAUAUUUAUAUGAUAUGUGUACUCACAUACAUGUGAGCUCACAUACACAGACAUAUAUGUAAUUCAGUUGCAAUAUCUUUUAAAAUUUAAAUACAGUUAUCUUACUUUUAUUAUCAAAUAUGCUGUGGAAGUUUUCUGUGGAAAAUGUUAUAGUCAUCUCUUGCUCUGAGUUCCUACUCUUCUGUACUCUUUUUUUUUUCCCUUUCAGUUUUAUUGAGAUAUAAGUGACAUACAGCAUUGUAUAAAUUUAAGGGUACAGCAUAAUAAUUUUAUGUACAUACAUAAUGAAAUGAUUACCACAGUAAAUUUGGUGAACAUCCGUCAUUUCAUAUAGGUACAAAAUAAAAUAAAUAGAAAAUUUUUGUGUGUGCGUGUGAUGAGAACUCCUAAACUUUAAAAUGUUUCAAACAGCCCCUGCAUAGUGUUGGAGUGUUAUCUAGUGUUCCAGAGCACAAGAAGGCCGUGGUAUGCCUUAUGGAGAAAAUAUGUGUGCUAGGUAAGCUUCAUUCAGGCAUGAGUUAAAUAGUGUUGCUUGCCAAGAGUUCAGGGUUAAUGAAUCAGUGAAAUAUAUUAAAGUGUCUGUAAACAAAAA
rnacentral:lncRNA from 1 species